rnacentral:rRNA from 1 species
AAGCUAAUCUGAGCAGGGUAAGCCGGCCCCUAAGGCGAGGCCGAAAGGCGUAGUCGAUGGGAACCAGGUUAAUAUUCCUGGGCCAGGAGAUGGUGACGGAUCGCAGGUGUAGUUCCUCCUUAUCGGAUUGGAGGGGCUGCUGAGCGGUUCCUGGAAAUAGCCCUCCACAAGACCGUACCCUAAACCGACACAGGUGGACUGGUAGAGAAUACCAAGGCGCUUGAGAGAACCACAUUUAAGGAACUCGGCAAAAUACCUCCGUAAGUUCGCGAGAAGGAGGCCCGAUUGGUGCGCAAGCAUCGGUCGGGGGCACAAACCAGGGGGUGGCGACUGUUUACUAAAAACACAGGGCUCUGCGAAGCCGUAAGGCGACGUAUAGGGUCUGACGCCUGCCCGGUGCCGGAAGGUUAAAAGGAGAGGUGCAAGCCUUGAAUUGAAGCCCCGGUAAACGGCGGCCGUAACUAUAACGGUCCUAAGGUAGCGAAAUUCCUUGUCGGGUAAGUUCCGACCUGCACGAAUGGCGUAACGACUUCCCCGCUGUCUCAAAUGUGGACUCAGCGAAAUUGAACUGUCUGUGAAGAUGCAGACUUCCCGCGGUUAGACGGAAAGACCCCAUGCACCUUUACUAUAGCUUCGCACUGGCAUCAGGAUUGCGAUGUGCAGGAUAGGUGGUAGGCAUUGAAGCGGGGACGCCAGUUCCCGUGGAGCCAUCCUUGAGAUACCACCCUUCGCACUCUUGAUGUCUAACCGCGGCCCGUUAUCCGGGUCCGGGACCCUGCGUGGUGGGUAGUUUGACUGGGGCAGUCGCCUCCCAAAGAGUAACGGAGGCGCGCGAAGGUUGGCUCAGAGCGGUCGGAAAUCGCUCGUUGAGUGCAAUGGCAGAAGCCAGCCUGACUGCAAGACUGACAAGUCGAGCAGAGACGAAAGUCGGCCAUAGUGAUCCGGUGGUCCCGAGUGGAAGGGCCAUCGCUCAACGGAUAAAAGGUACGCUGGGGAUAACAGGCUGAUGAUGCCCAAGAGUCCAUAUCGACGGCAUCGUUUGGCACCUCGAUGUCGGCUCAUCUCAUCCUGGGGCUGGAGCAGGUCCCAAGGGUAUGGCUGUUCGCCAUUUAAAGAGGUACGUGAGCUGGGUUUAGAACGUCGUGAGACAGUUCGGUCCCUAUCUGCCGUGGGUGUAGGAUACUUGAGAGGAGUUGCCCCUAGUACGAGAGGACCGGGGUGAACGUUCCACUGGUGGACCAGUUGUCGUGCCAACGGCAGUGCUGGGUAGCUAUGAACGGACAGGAUAAACGCUGAAGGCAUCUAAGCGUGAAGCCCCCCUCAAAACAAGGUAUCCCUUGAGAGCCGUGGAAGACCACCACGUCGAUAGGCCGGAGAUGUAAGCGCAGCAAUGCGUUCAGUUGACCGGUACUAAUGGCUCGAUUGGCUUGAUU